AUUGAACGCUGGCGGCAGGCUUAACACAUGCAAGUCGAGCGGGGAAGGGUAGCUUGCUACCUAACCUAGCGGCGGACGGGUGAGUAAUGCUUAGGAAUCUGCCAUUUAGUGGGGGACAACAUUCCGAAAGGAAUGCUAAUACCGCAUACGUCCUACGGGAGAAAGCAGGGGAUCUUCGGACCUUGCGCUAAAUGAUGAGCCUAAGUCGGAUUAGCUAGUUGGUGGGGUAAAGGCCUACCAAGGCGACGAUCUGUAGCGGGUCUGAGAGGAUGGGCAGCCACACGGGGACUGAGACACGGCCCAGACGCCUACGGGAGGCAGCAGUGGGGAAUAUUGGACAAUGGGCGGAAGCCUGAUCCAGCCAUGCCGCGUGUGUGAAGAAGGCCUUAUGGUUGUAAAGCACUUUAAGCGAGGAGGAGGCUACUUAGAUUAAUACUCUAGGAUAGUGGACGUUACUCGCAGAAUAAGCACCGGCUAACUCUGUGCCAGCCGCCGCCGUAA
rnacentral:rRNA from 1 species